rnacentral:rRNA from 1 species
UUGAACGCUGGCGGCAGGCCUAACACAUGCAAGUCGAACGGUAACAGGAAGCAGCUUGCUGCUUUGCUGACGAGUGGCGGACGGGUGAGUAAUGUCUGGGAAACUGCCCGAUGGAGGGGGAUAACUACUGGAAACGGUAGCUAAUACCGCAUAACGUCGCAAGACCAAAGAGGGGGACCUUAGGGCCUCUUGCCAUCGGAUGUGCCCAGAUGGGAUUAGCUAGUAGGUGGGGUAAUGGCUCACCUAGGCGACGAUCCCUAGCUGGUCUGAGAGGAUGACCAGCCACACUGGAACUGAGACACGGUCCAGACUCCUACGGGAGGCAGCAGUGGGGAAUAUUGCACAAUGGGCGCAAGCCUGAUGCAGCCAUGCCGCGUGUAUGAAGAAGGCCUUCGGGUUGUAAAGUACUUUCAGCGGGGAGGAAGGGAGUAAAGUUAAUACCUUUGCUCAUUGACGUUACCCGCAGAAGAAGCACCGGCUAACUCCGUGCCAGCAGCCGCGGUAAUACGGAGGGUGCAAGCGUUAAUCGGAAUUACUGGGCGUAAAGCGCACGCAGGCGGUUUGUUAAGUCAGAUGUGAAAUCCCCGGGCUCAACCUGGGAACUGCAUCUGAUACUGGCAAGCUUGAGUCUCGUAGAGGGGGGUAGAAUUCCAGGUGUAGCGGUGAAAUGCGUAGAGAUCUGGAGGAAUACCGGUGGCGAAGGCGGCCCCCUGGACGAAGACUGACGCUCAGGUGCGAAAGCGUGGGGAGCAAACAGGAUUAGAUACCCUGGUAGUCCACGCCGUAAACGAUGUCGACUUGGAGGUUGUGCCCUUGAGGCGUGGCUUCCGGAGCUAACGCGUUAAGUCGACCGCCUGGGGAGUACGGCCGCAAGGUUAAAACUCAAGUGAAUUGACGGGGGCCCGCACAAGCGGUGGAGCAUGUGGUUUAAUUCGAUGCAACGCGAAGAACCUUACCUGGUCUUGACAUCCACGGAAGUUUUCAGAGAUGAGAAUGUGCCUUCGGGAACCGUGAGACAGGUGCUGCAUGGCUGUCGUCAGCUCGUGUUGUGAAAUGUUGGGUUAAGUCCCGCAACGAGCGCAACCCUUAUCCUUUGUUGCCAGCGGUCCGGCCGGGAACUCAAAGGAGACUGCCAGUGAUAAACUGGAGGAAGGUGGGGAUGACGUCAAGUCAUCAUGGCCCUUACGACCAGGGCUACACACGUGCUACAAUGGCGCAUACAAAGAGAAGCGACCUCGCGAGAGCAAGCGGACCUCAUAAAGUGCGUCGUAGUCCGGAUUGGAGUCUGCAACUCGACUCCAUGAAGUCGGAAUCGCUAGUAAUCGUGGAUCAGAAUGCCACGGUGAAUACGUUCCCGGGCCUUGUACACACCGCCCGUCACACCAUGGGAGUGGGUUGCAAAAGAAGUAGGUAGCUUAACCUUCGGGAGGGCGCUUACCACUUUGUGAUUCAUGACUGGGGUG